AAUUUACAAAAUCUUUUGGGUGCUCUAUUCGAAUGAGUGGAGAAAUAUCACAAUUUUGUCAAAACUUUAUCAAAAGCGUUACAAAAAGUUUUACUCUCAGUUUUUUCUAUAGUUCCUUCUAACAACUUUGCAUUAUUCCGAUAAAACUAAUAGCUAAAAAACUUGUAAAGCUUUUGGUUACCAAUCAGACCCAUCAUUUGUUAAUUUAAAGUAACUUA
rnacentral:sRNA from 1 species